UGCUUGACGACCAUAGAGCGUUGGAACCACCUGAUCCCAUCCCGAACUCAGUAGUGAAACGAUGCAUCGCCGAUGGUAGUGUGGGGUUUCCCCAUGUGAGAGUAGGUCAUCGUCAAGCAC
rnacentral:rRNA from 1 species